CUCGAAGCAGUGCAAUGACCACUUUCUCAGAAUCGGCAGCGAGCAUAGAAUGUGAAGGUGCACUGCGACGUAAGAGCAUAUUUCAUCGAUUCUUUACUUAUUCUGAGAAGAGGAUCGAGCCUUGGCUCUUUUUUCUUAGUGUUAAGCACGGCCACCUCGUGGCCGUGCGACUCUCGCAGAAGACAGUGUCAGGAGUUUGAAUGAGGCGGUGCAUCUGUCAAACCGUAACGCAGGUGUCCUAAGGCUAACUCAGAGAGGACGGAAACCUCUCGUAGAGCAGAAGGGCAAAAGCUCACUUGAUCUUGGUUUUCAGUACGGUACAGGCCGCGAAAUUGAUCUUAUCGAUCCUUUUGAUCCAGGGCCGGAUUCAUCAACGACUUACAGCAAUUUAACAAAAAAAAAAUUACAGCCGAAAUCCCUGAUAGCGCGGCUUAUCAAGCGAUGUGGUGGGCCAUAAGCCGCGGCAUUUGAGUUUUCCACUGUGAAUUCUCUGUUAAAGUUAUGUAAGUCGUUGAUGAAUCCUACCCUAGGUGGUUUCUGGUAAGAGGUGUCAGAAAAGUUACCACAGGUACCACUGGGUUAGUUUUACCCUAUUGUUGACUAAUUGUUGCGAUAGUAAUCCUGCUUAGAACGAGAGGAACAGCAGGUACAGACAUUUCGUCCGAAGCUACCACCUGGGGGAUUAUGACUGAACGCCUCUAGGUCAGAAUCCCACCUAGUCAAGGCAGCUAUAACUUUGUUUCCCGGUGUCGGGAGACAACUAUCUCGUGGCAACACGAGAGCUUAUGCCCUAGUAAAUGAUCUUGCCGGAAUGGAUAAUCCCUGCUGGUUGUCAAAGCUAGAUCACUCUGGUUCAAUGUUUUUCAGUUUAAGUGAUCAGUAUAUUUAGACCAUCUGUUCUGCUUGCUGUGGUUGUAUUACUACACGUCCACACAUAAGUUGUGUCCAUAAAUAAA
rfam:Heligmosomoides polygyrus genome assembly, scaffold: HPBE_scaffold0001635